UCGGAAAGAAAGCUGAAAACC
rnacentral:piRNA from 1 species